GAACGGACCCCCGUGCCCGGCACGCCAGAUCGGGACCGUGGACCUGAGGCAGCCGUACAGAGGCGGCGUCCACACCUACAGAAAAAAACAAAACAAAACAAAAAAACAAGGGCCAAAAAGGCUAAGUGACUCCUCUCACACACUCACCCCUGCCUCACAAAAUCAGAGGAGAUGGAACCAGGACACCUGAAGAACUGUCUCUGCCGGCCAAGGACCCUCCACCUCCCUCCAGUCAACUGGCAGGAUUGAGUAGCGAACCAGGUCACUAAAGACACAAUGUAAACCCAGUGUCCCAGCACAUACCUGAACUUCCAUCACGUGGGAGGCCGAGGCAGGAGGAUCAUGAGUUUGAGGCCAACCUGGACUACAUAGCAAGACCCUGUCUCAGAACAGAAAGGGAAAAAAAGAGCUCCAUAAUGAGAUCAGUUUCCCCACUGUUUGCUAAGGAGACAAAGUGGGGAGGGAUCUUCAAGUGUUACUGUGGGAUGGUUUCCAGGCUCUUGUGCAUGAGGGACAAAGCAUUGGAUGUUGCACACAAUGAUACAGAAAAAGCAGGCUGUGUUCCCACCAUCUUCAGCGCCAGAGGGCCUUCUCUGCUGCACCCUCUCUUGCAGGCUGCGUUCCGCCAUCUUCAGCCGCGCCCUCCAGGCGGUGUUCCCGCUAUCUUUAGUGCCAGAGGACCUGCUCGGCGGGGUCCUCCCGUGCUGGCGCCGCUGCUGCCAUCUUCAGCACUAGAAAAAGAGCUGUGUGGGCACCCCAUACCCCCCCAACCUUCCCCCUCCCGCUUUUAGACCUCCUGAUUG